AUUUUGUUUUUGGAGCAAAAAAGUUCUAUCCUUUUCUCUUGUCUUAUAUUCUUUCGUUAUAUCAAUGUUAACUUGGAAGAGAUUCAUCAAAAGUAUUUAAGCACAUAAAGGGACUCCAAGCAAUAUAUGUGUAUACUAAUAUAGACUAACAUCUGCUACUUUUCAAGCUGUAGCCAAAUAUGAUGUUUUGUUUACUAUAUUUACUUACCAGGUUCAAGCUGUAGCGUGUACCGUUUAACCCCACUUAUUAGUUUUAUAAUUUCUCAUCACAGCUCGAAUUUUUUGGUUUUAUGUUUUUAUGUAAUUCAGAUAGAUGCAAGAAACCCUUCCCGUUCAGGUUACAAGUGGCUAGUUAAAGCAGAUGUGGAGAGAUUGAUAUGAGAUCCACAAAGAGAGCACAUGUUUGUGGUGAGCCUAGAGGAUGGUACAGUGAAAGGUUUUCACAUCCGGAAUCCCACCACAGAGACUAGUUCUGAAUCAAAAGCAAGUUCUACUCUCCAUGCCAUGCGCAUCAGAAAGCUGUGUGCUUCAUCUCUUACAAUCCCUUGGCACCAAGCGUUAAAUUGUGGGACUUGUCCAAUAAUGAACCUUCGAUGUGGCAUCCACCAAUCUUAAAGUAUAGCUAUGCUUUUGGUUUCCUUCUCCGAAGAUUGUCCCCUUUUGCUGGCUAUUGGAGCUCAAAAGGAAAACGGAAGGUGGGUGUAUAAUGUUGGACCCAUAUUUAUUUUCAUUGAAGUAGUUUCUAAAUAACUUUUUUAUUCAUGUAAAUUAUACUUGUUUGUCCCAAGUUUUUUUAGGUAAGUUUCUCCCUCCUUUAAGUCAACUUUAAAAGAAAAUUGAUGUUCUUAAAAAAUACUCUUUUCUUUCUCGUUUUCAAAAAUUGCCUUAAAAAUUGGUAAUAAAGCAAGAAAGUAGAAGUAGAAUUGGACACUAUAAGCUUGGUUUUGAGAAAGAGAACACAAGAUCAUGGUUAUGGAACAGGAGUGUUGGUAACUUGUAAAUGGCUAUUGAUAAAUAAGUGUUUUUGCAGGUGUGGGAUACAUUAUCUGAUGCUGCAUCUCUCGAAAGUCGCGAAGCUGCAGGAAGUUGAUAUCUUAAAUAGUGAAUUGACUGAGUUAUAUCAAAUAUAUUUGGGAAACAUUUGGUUAUGUUUGUGUACUUAGUUUUGGGAUCUUUUCUUUGACAAUUGGGCUAUGUCCUUACAAUUUUGAAGCUUGAGUUUGUCAAUAUUCAAUUCCCCUGUAUUUUCUUGUGGCAAGCCAUUUGAAAAUUUACUGAGUACAACCCCCCUCCAAAUUAAUGGAUCCUUGGCACUCUCGACUGAUGCUCGUAUCUUAUUGCAGGUAGUUAUACUAUCAAAAAAACAUUGGUGAAAAUGAAAAUUGGAUUCCAUGUUCAUAAGUCAUCCUUAGAAGGCUGAAAAAGGGUGACUUAUAGGAUCUCUCUAUAUUGGUAUAUUCUCGUCAUAACAUGAUUGGAGAAUCACAGGAAGGGGAGAAGAAAGAAGAAGAAAAAAUAAUUGUCAUUGGUGCAUUGGUGGAGGUGCCAUUGGAUAAGCAACUGGCAUAACAUAUGGAGGAUGGGGAUGGAUUCCUUGAGGAAGCAUCACUGGAGUGCCAACCGCUGAUGCUAUGUGCCCUGGAGGAGCUGCCACUGGUUGCCCAACAGGUGCUCCGUACAUGCCUAUUCCGGGCAGAUGCUGUUGAGGCCGGUGCUUCCCUGGCGGUCCCAAAGCCGGCGGAUUACUCUGGUUCGUGCCGUUUGUCUGGUGGCCAGUGAUCGGAGCUUGAUGGGACAUGACAUCGCCACCACCGCCAUUAUUAACUGAGGAACACCCAUGUAGUAACUAAAGCACUGAUGUCCUAAUCAAUGAAGGAGGCCUGGGGAAAGGGGUGAAGGUUAAGGUUUUAAUUGCCUCAUCAUAAUAUACAUGAUGAACAAGCAAUUGCUAAUGAGAAAG